rnacentral:rRNA from 1 species
CGCGAACGGGUGAGUAACACGUGGGUAACCUACCCCGAUGACCGGGACAACCCGAGGAAACUCGGGCUAAUACCGGAUGUUCUCUCUUCUCGUAAGGGAAGCGAGCAAAGAUAGCUUCGGCCUUCGCAUCGGGACGGGCCCGCGGCCCAUUAGCUCGUUGGUGGGGUAACGGCCUACCAAGGCGACGAUGGGUAGCUGGUCUGAGAGGACGAUCAGCCACACUGGGACUGAGACACGGCCCAGACUCCUACGGGAGGCAGCAGUGGGGAAUCUUGCGCAAUGCGCGAAAGCGUGACGCAGCAACGCCGCGUGGGGGAAGAAGGCCUUCGGGUUGUAAACCCCUUUCAGUUGGGACGAAGCUUCGUGGGUUAAUAGCCCUCUGGAGUGACGGUACCUUCAGAAGAAGCCCCGGCUAACUACGUGCCAGCAGCCGCGG